AGAGUUUGAUCCUGGCUCAGGACGAACGCUGGCGGUGUGCUUCACACAUGCAAGUCGAACGGAGUAGCAAUACUCAGUGGCGGACGGGUGAGUAACACGUGGGAAUCUACCAUUAGGUGGGGAAUAACAGGCCGAAAGGACUGCUAAUGCCGCAUAUGUAGGCAUCUCGACAGAGAUGUUUAUGAAAGGAGUAAUCCGCCUUUUGAUGAGCCCGCGUCCGAUUAGCUAGUUGGUAGGGUAAAAGCCUACCAAGGCGACGAUCGGUAGGUGGUCUGAGAGGAUGAUCACCCACAAUGGGACUGAGACACGGCCCAUACUCCUACGGGAGGCAGCAGUGGGGAAUUUUACGCAAUGGGGGAAACCCUGACGUAGCGACACCGCGUGAGCGAAGAAGCCCUUUGGGGUGUAAAGCUCUGUCAACAGGAACGAAACAAAUGACGGUACCUGUGGAGGAAGCAUCGGCUAACUACGUGCCAGCAGCCGCGGUAAGACGUAGGAUGCAAGCGUUGUCCGGAUUUAUUGGGCGUAAAGAGUUCGUAGGCGGUUUGUUAAGUCUGAUGUUAAAGACCGGGGCUCAACCUCGGAAAUGCAUUGGAUACUGGCGACUGGAGUGCAGUAGAGGCUAGUGGAAUUCCCAGUGUAGCGGUGAAAUGCGUAGA
rnacentral:rRNA from 1 species